UACGGAGGGGGCUAGCGUUGUUCGGAAUUACUGGGCGUAAAGCGCACGUAGGCGGCUUUGCAAGUCAGAGGUGAAAGCCCGGGGCUCAACCCCGGAAUAGCCUUUGAGACUGCAUCGCUAGAAUUGUGGAGAGGUAAGUGGAAUUCCGAGUGUAGAGGUGAAAUUCGUAGAUAUUCGGAAGAACACCAGUGGCGAAGGCGACACGCUGGGCCGUACCUGACACUGAUGCGCGACAGCAUGGGGAGCAAACAGG
rnacentral:rRNA from 1 species